CUCGUAGGCUGUUUGGUAAGUCAGAUGUGAAAGCCCACGGCUUAACCGUGGAACUGCAUUUGAUACUGCCAGACUUGAGUGUCGGAGAGGGUGGCGGAAUUCCGGGUGUAGGAGUGAAAUCCGUAGAUAUCCGGAGGAACACCAGUGGCGAAGGCGGCCACCUGGACGACAACUGACGCUGAGGAGCGAAAGCGUGGGGAGCAAACA
rnacentral:rRNA from 1 species